rnacentral:rRNA from 1 species
GGAUGUCUUGGGCUCGUGCAUCGAUGAAAGGACGCAGCGAAAUGCGAUACGCAUUGUGAAUUGCAGAUUUCAGUGAACCAUCAGAUUUCCGAACGCAUAUGGCGCUGUGGGGACUUCCCCGCAGCACGUCUGUUUCAGUGUCUUU